rnacentral:rRNA from 1 species
CCUACGGGUGGCUGCAGUGAGGAAUAUUGGUCAAUGGGCGUAAGCCUGAACCAGCCAAGUCGCGUGAGGGAUGACGGCCCUAUGGAUUGUAAACUUCUUUUAUAAGGGAAUAAAGUGUGGGACGUGUCCCAUUUUGUAUGUACUUUAUGAAUAAGGAUCGGCUAACUCCGUGCCAGCAGCCGCGGUAAUACGGAGGAUCCGAGCGUUAUCCGGAUUUAUUGGGUUUAAAGGGUGCGUAGGCGGGCUGUUAAGUCAGUUGUGAAAGUUUGCGGCUCAACCAUAAAAUUGCAGUUGAUACUGGGAGGCUUGAGUAUAUUUGAGGCAGGCGGAAUGCGUGGUGUAGCGGUGAAAUGCUUAGAUAUCACGAAGAACCCCGAUUGCGAAGGCAGCUUACCAAGC